rnacentral:tRNA from 1 species
GCGGCCGUAGUCUAGCCUGGUCUAGGAUGGCGGCCUGCCGAGCCGCAGAACCCGGCCGUGCGUCCGAUUGGGCGUACGGGGUAAGUUCGAAUCCCGGCGGCCGCACCA